AGGGUCCAUAGCUUAGCGGUAGAACAUUUGACUACAGAUCAAGAGGUCAUCGGUUCAAACCUGGUUGUCCCUU